UACAGAGGUCUCAAGCGUUGUUCGGAUUCAUUGGGCGUAAAGGGUGCGUAGGUGGCGCCGUAAGUCAGGUGUGAAAUUUCGGAGCUUAACUCCGAAACUGCAUUUGAUACUGCGGUGCUUGAGGACUGGAGAGGAGACUGGAAUUUACGGUGUAGCAGUGAAAUGCGUAGAGAUCGUAAGGAAGACCAGUGGCGAAGGCGGG
rnacentral:rRNA from 1 species